rnacentral:misc_RNA from 1 species
GCCGCCGCCGCCGACUGAGAAGAGGAAGAGGAAGAGGGGAGAUUCCGCCGCCGACGAGAGGUGGGGGGGAGUGGGUUGUGAUCGUGAGGAGGGCUCUCAUCCCUAGACGGGCGAGUUGAAAGGCGGCAAAGACGGCUAGCGUUGAAGCGGUCGGGCGCGGCCACGCAGCUGCGCCGCCCACGCCCAGUGGGGGAGCCAUCGCUUCUCCGGCGACGGCGUCCAGCCCAGCCCCGCACGGCGGCCGCGGGGCG